UACGUAGGCAGCGAGCGUUGUUCGGAGUUACUGGGCGUAAAGGGUGUGUAGGCGGUUGUUUAAGUUUGGUGUGAAAUCUCCCGGCUCAACUGGGAGGGUGCGCCGAAUACUGAAUGACUUGGAGUGCGGGAGAGGAGAGUGGAAUUCCUGGUGUAGCGGUGAAAUGCGCAGAUAUCAGGAGGAACACCAAUUGCGAAGGCAGCUCGCUGGGACGUGACUGACGCUGAGACGCGAAAGCGUGGGGAGCAAACAGG
rnacentral:rRNA from 1 species